UGGCCAUUUGCAAGUAAUGAAGGGAAAUUUUGUUAUGUGCACAUACUGUCUAAGUGCUGUCCAAAAUUUUUGGCAUGGCAUCCAGUGUGCUAAUAAUCACUGGGACCAUCACAGACAGUUUAUGCCAGAAUCUUUCCAUUUCAAUUUUCAGAUUUUGAUACUUUAGGAUUGACUCUAAUUCUUUGUCUUCUAUUCUAUUGUCCCAUGAUAUUGUCUCAUCAAUUAUCCACACUUCUAUAAAUCCAAUUUAUAUGCUGCCCAUCUUCCCCCAAAGGAGACUCUGGGUCGCACACAAUAAAUGACAUUUAUGCUGUGAAUCUUGAAGGCUUAUUCUGGCAUCGGGGAACAUACUUUCUACACUGAGCUUCAUAUUUCACCUUCUUUCAAAUUCUCCUAAAAUACCCAGGUGAUUACAAUGAAAAGUCAAAUGCUGGACUAAGAUGGCCCUUGCUUGACCUAAAAGACUACUCUUUUCACCCAUAAGAAGGGAAAACAACUUUAUAAGCAAAGCAAUUUGAAGAUGAUUCCUUCUGCUCUUUUCCUGUACAGAAUAAUUCAUCCAGAACCAAACUCGAAACUCCUUCAUUUUAUCCAAAAGAUAGAAAGGGAAAAAACCCUCCUCCUUUAACUUGGGAUGAGGAAGCUCAGUACAUUCUCAAGGAAUAUUUCAGCCUGACCUUGUGACACGCUCACCUUCUUCAGACUCAAAAGGAAGAAUACUUGUACAAUUAGGACAGUUGGAAGCCUAUAUUGGAAGUCCCUGGACAACAAUAGGAAUAGCACAGAACUUGGCUACAUUUCCAGAGGCCUCAGCAUGGACAUCCUCUCAAAGGAAUAGUACCUUCUCCUCAUCUGAUCAUCAAAGCAAUUUAACAACAUGAGAAUUUAUUAUGCUUGAGAGCCAACCAAAUAAAA